CUGGAAUCCUCUGCCUGUCCUGACUUUCACUACUUUCCUGCGCGCCUGCUGCAGCACCAUGUUGUCUCAGGCUGCAUCACCGGACCGCAGGAGCACAGGGCCGCACCAGUACCCUGGGGCCAGGAACAGGAGAGUCUGCAGGGCAGAGCCUCUGGACCUAUUUGUUCCUGAGCUGGCACGUAGUACAGCCUGUGAACCUGCGAACCCAGGUGCCAGAACUGGGCCAGUGAAGAUACAGAACCUGGUGUAACAGCAUCCUCCUUGGAGUUAUGGGGGUGGCCUCAGUUCAGGAUCUCAUUAGUAAGUUAUGCAAUGUAUAUGGUGCCCUUCCCAACAAGGGCUCAGGGCAGCUCCCAGGGCAACUAAAAUAUCAGAUAAAACAGAGACCCACUAAACAACAUCUCAGCCUAGCUGUGUUUGCUAAAUGUCUGCCCAAAUAAAAAGA